rnacentral:rRNA from 1 species
GACGAACGCUGGCGGCGUGCUUAACACAUGCAAGUCGAACGGAAAGGCCCUGCUUUUGUGGGGUGCUCGAGUGGCGAACGGGUGAGUAACACGUGAGUAACCUGCCCUUGACUUUGGGAUAACUUCAGGAAACUGGGGCUAAUACCGGAUAGGAGCUCCUGCUGCAUGGUGGGGGUUGGAAAGUUUCGGCGGUUGGGGAUGGACUCGCGGCUUAUCAGCUUGUUGGUGGGGUAGUGGCUUACCAAGGCUUUGACGGGUAGCCGGCCUGAGAGGGUGACCGGCCACAUUGGGACUGGGAUACGGCCCAGACUCCUCCGGGAGGCAGCGGUGGGGAAUAUUGCACAAGGGGCGGAAGCCUGAUGCAGCAACGCCGCGUGCGGGAUGACGGCCUUCGGGUUGUAAACCGCUUUCGCCUGUGACGAAGCGUGAGUGACGGUAAUGGGUAAAGAAGCACCGGCUACCUACG